AACAAUUCAAAGAUCAUUUCAGUGAUUAAUUUAAUUGGAAAAGUAAUUAAAAUUCCUCUUUUCCUUUUCGGGCCGAAACAGGAAAAGUCCUCUCUCUUUCUUGGCCCAAUCUCCUCUCAGCCUGCAGCCCUCUCCCUCCCUCUGUCGAAGUCUGCUUUGUGUCCCUCUUUCAAUCGGGCCAAGAAGUAGAAGCCCAGCCGAAAAGUCUAAUUUUCGUCCUUUGCACUGUUCAUCUUCAACCUCUGGACAGCCGAACUGAGACCGAGUGGGCUAGGUUUUUCCCAUCCAAAUCCGGCCUUAUCUCUCGUGUAUUCCGAAAAUUAGUUGAGGGGAAAUAUUUCCUUUAUCUUCCUCUCUCGUUUUCCUUAAGAAUCGGAACCUAAUUCCUUGUAUUUUAUCCGAGUCAAACUCGUUUUUGAGUUUACCUCUCCAAACUAACCCUCGGAUUUUCCGGUUAAAAUCCUCUCGUUUUGAGUUCGAUCUCUCUCACCCGUGCCUAUAUAAAGCAUCCCUAAGUCGUCCUCUUCCGUUUGCCUCAAGUUCCGAGCUCUACCGUUGCCCGUAGCGCCGCCACCGCGUAGCCCUAGCCGCCGCCUUCGUUGUCGUCGUUCCAACCGCGUCGCGCUGGGGUUGUGGUCGCCGUCGCCGCUUACCGUCGUCGCCGUCGGGUUCGCGCGGUGGAGGAGCACCUCGGCCGCCCCUUUUCAGCCGCCGAAGACCGUCGGAGCGCCGUCGCCGAGGUUGACCCGAGCCAAGCCGCCGUUGGAGUUCGUCGCCGGCCUUCGUUCGUCGUCGUCCGUCGUUGUUUUUCGCACCGUUUCUAACGUUCCGGAGGAGAGCGUUUACGUUGAGGAAGGUUCAGAAGCGUUUGAGGAAGCUCAAGGCAAGUCACACAGAUCCCAAACAACUCUUUGAGCAUGUUGAACCCGUUUAAAGCUAAUGUUUUAUUUUAACUUAUGCAUUAUUUUCGAAUGUUAUCGGGUGGUGAGCCUUUCCCAUUUAAUUAUGGCCAACAAUGACUUUAUUUUCCUAUGAGUAAUAAAUUGAUUAGCUUGAACCUUAUAUAUUGGUUUGGUUCACCUAAAUGCUAUAUAUAUAAUUGCUUAGCCAUGCUUAGAAACAUUAGCUUAUUUAUGGGAUGAAUCAUAUUACAUUAUUACUUAUGGUUAAUGGUAGCUCACGAUGGUUAAUCGUGUUAUGAUAAUUAAUUGAUAAAUAAAACCUGAUUAAUGGUGGGUUGUGAGCAUGUGAUUUUGAUGGUCGUGCUCAUGGCAAUUAAAGGACCAGUUCGUGAGCUACUGUUGUGAAACAUUAACCGUACCAACCACAAGCCAGCGUGGACAAUGGCUUUACCUUUUGUAUAGCAUGAUUCAUUGCGGGGUGCCAGACUGAGAAGCAGCGAGAAGUUCGUGGGGGUCGCUGGGGAGUCCAUGCCUACCUCUUUAGAAGAGCAAAAAAUUAACUCCGAACCUAAGAGGGGCAUUCGGAUAAUUACCAAACGUAAAUGUCGUAGGCUCUCCGGACCUUCCAUUAUAAUUGAGAGAUGAAAUAAAUAAUUCAAGUCAACAACAAGCAUAAUGAAAUAUCUGACGCCUCGAGAGAGGAAUAUUGGAGAUAUUGCUGGGCCUAUAGCCUGCCAGUCAACUUUAGCCUGAGAUGUGCCCGUCAAACCACUCGAAGGCGGCGACCAGUUGUGUUACACAUUCAGGAGACUUGACAAAAAUGGCUAAAGAUCUACAACAUCUCAAAUAUUCUUAACUCAUACUCAUGUGAAUCUAGUUCCCAGGAUGUACACUAGAUUCACACUUUCAUCUCAAGCAUGGAAAUACAUAGAAAAAUACACUUAAGACGAAAGUGAUUCUAAAUUACAACUACUUCAUAGUUACAUAGGCCGACCAGCCAAAUAAAUAUAUAGAAUAGCGGAAGCUUGACUACCCAAUCCUCAAGCACACCGACUAGGGAUUUACCCCAUUAAGUUCAAGUCCUAGAAGAAGCAGUCGAUUACCCGCAUCACUCAAAGACUAAAUCUAAAAUAUGCAAGCAAAAGGUUAAUUCAACAGCAAGAGUCAGUACAUUAUUAGAAAUAAUGUACUACCAGCAUCACUAAAAAACUAAAUCUAAAACAUGCAAGCAAAAGAUUAAUUUAAUAGCAAGAGUCAGUACAUUAUUAAAAAUAAUGUACUGGCAAGCACCAACACAAGCCUAACACCCUAUUUGCAAGACAUAUAAUCAAGGAAGGCAUAAUAUGUCUCUUUUUAUCAUAAAGCAAGUUUUAUUUGCAUAAAACACAUUCAAAUCAGAUUUUGCUUUCAAAUAAAUUUCAGCAAGCUAGUACUUAGCAUAUGGGCACAUUAAUCAUGUAUAAGUAUGCAGCUCAUUGCUAUCCAUGGCAGCAAGGAGAUCAUUCUCAAAUCUCAUCACAUUUUGAAGUUAAAUUUCAGCAUUUAGAAGAAUAAACAUAAGUCUGCAGAGUUUGUACACUUUCCCCACAAGAUGCGAAAUAAUAAUCAUGCAAGAGCAUGGCACGUGAUACAUAAGUACCCGAUUUAUUACCCGCAACAAAGCUGUUCCAAAAUUCAUGAUUUAGCCUUACACCAGCACGAUACGCGAUACAUAAGUACCCGAUUUAUUACCCGCAACAAAGCUGUUCCAAAAUUCAUGAUUUAGCCUUACACCAGCACGAUACGUGUUACUCCAUCUUAAGCCAUACACGUUAUAUGACCUAGAACCGUUAAGUGGCGGGCCCACGCCUUAAACUUAACGCCGUGGUGGCGGACACAACGGCAACCCACCACGAGGCACAAUACUGUUGUAUCACGUCGGGGUAAAUAGGAAGCUCUUCUGAAUUAUACGAACUCAUAUACACCGGCCUACCAGAAUGUAAGGCUAAAUCAUAAAUAAUUUUCUAAGCUUGGGCUAUCCCGUACUAGCACAUGUGGAUGUGGUUGCACUGUAUACGAAAUGAACUGACAUUGAGUGAAGUCCUUAGGUCGGUUUGGACGCACUCUACCCCUAUCGGUACACAACAAAUCACCAUAUGUGCACCACUUGAGGCCCAAACCUAAAAUCCAUAUUUUGCUCCAUUUUAUUUAUCAAAAUCAUAAGUAUUCAAGUUCUGUCUAGAUUAUUUCAGAAACAAUUUUCAUGUUUGUAAUGAGCCCAUAAUGACAAGGAACACCAUUCUAAGCAUGGCUAAGCAUUAUUGUAACCUAGUGACAUCAAAACUCGUAUAUAUAAAGUGGUAUAUGUCAGGGUUAUGGAUACCACAUACCUAAUAGUAGUUGACUAAAUCUCGGUAGGACCCACCACAUACCAUGUCUUAUAUGGAAACAACCUUCGGAUAUAGGAAGAGUUCCGCGUAAGGAAGGAUGAAUAGAGUUCUACAUGGAAACGACAAGGACUACUCGGAUUGUAUCCAUAUUAGUUUCCCUAGUUCUACUUGGACAAGGAGACACCUAUGGGUAUAAAUACAAGGCCCCCUAGGAGGAGAGAGGACACGGAGCAAUAGAUCAACAUACAAGCCAACAUACGCCAAGACAUGCCGCCGGAUAUCGACUUUAGAGAUAAGCAUGGCUAGUCCCCUACGGUGUCUACAGAUGCUGUCAGGAGAGACAUAGCGCUGUCUUUGAUCUCGCCGGGCACGGAUUCGAGGAGGAAGACUACUCUGUUAUCGACUACGGGAUGGUUUUAUGGCUGUCAAGUCGGCAACAGUUAGAUAGGCUACCCCAAAUAUUGUACUGGUGUGAUCAUGGUGAAUAAGAGCAACGACUGGCUUCGACCGACAAGAGUAGGGUUAUUACCUAACAAUUCAGGGGCCUGAAUCUGUAUAAAAAUCCUCAUCCCCAUUUCUUUUAUUACAAUUUCGCAUAUAUCCUAGUACCAACGAUCCCUAUACUAUGCAAAUACCGGAAUCACGACAUCAAAUACCGGAAUCGCGACAUCAAACGUCGACAGUAUAGUCAUAUUGUUCCUAAGUUUAGGAAUGAUGGAUAUGGAUAUAUGUGGGGUUAAGGUGAUAAUGCAAAUAAUAGGAGUUUGUCUAACAAGUUUAACAAAAUUUUAAUUUAUUACUGUACAAUUGACAUGCAAGAUUUGCAAACAUUUUCAAUAACCUCCAAAACAUAGGUUCAAAGUGAUUAAAGAGAGGGAGGUGGGACUUGCCUUGCAACUGGAAAAUGUCAGCACCUAAAUCACUUCUUCACCGUCUAAGCAAUCAUCUAUACAAAGUACAUGUUAUGCAAUUAAACACCGAAAUAUGCGAAAAAUCCAAAAUGCUUUAAAAUGCAUGAUUUGUGCACAGUGGAUAGGUAUUGGUCUAAGAUGAAUUUAGGUGAAAGAAUUUCUAUUUUAUCUCUUUUUAUUUGGGAGUUAUGAAUUUUAGAAAUUUGCGUGGUAUAAUAUAGGAUUUACUUAGGUACUAUUAUGAAAUGCUAUUGUAAGGUGAUUCUUAUUAAGUUUAUAUUUGCUGGGGUGAAGAUAUGUGUUUUCUAGGACUAACAUAUUUGGUUUCAUAAUUUUUAGAGUUAAUAUGAAUUCUUUAUGUAUUUUACAAGUUAUAACAUGUUAUAGGUGUAUAGUGUUAUAUAGGUUCAUGGCUUUAGAGGUUUAGGUCCAGAACUUGCCUCAUCUAGCCAGUGAUGUAUAAAAUGAGUAUUUUAGUUAACUAAUCUAAUCUUAGUUCAUAAUUUUAGAGUUUAUAUUAUUUUACUACACAUUUUAUAAAUAGGGAUGGUCUAUGUUAGUUACUUAACAUACCAACCUAGAAAUUGUUAUAUGAGUUAAGUUUGCUAAGUCUUUGGGAAUUAAGGCUGGAACUAUGACCUCUCUGGUCUAACAAGUUUUAUUUUGGUUUAUUCAUAGCUAGAGUGCAUUUUAAAUACCUUUACACAUAUAUUUUGCUUAAUCAUUACUAGGUGAUUAACUCCUAGGUUAUCUAUUUAAAGAUUAGAGCUAUAAUCUGUACAGAAGGUGUCAUAUUUUAUUUUACUAUGAUGAAGCUCACUGUUUGCUGGUUCUAUAGAAACUUGGUUCAUUCCAUUUGAAAUAAAAAUGAAUUUCUACAAAUUUUAGAAUUUAAAGGCUGCUCUAUGUUGGUUAUUACUUACAUAAUUUUUUAUAGGCUUUUAUCAUAUAGUAAGUAUAUAAUUUUAUUUUAUAACUUGGAAUUAUAUGUUUUGGUGAUUCUACAGAACUUGUGUUUACUCAAAAAGGACCUAAGAUGAAUUUUAUAUCAAUUUCUAAAUUUCAGCUUAACUUGGAAGUAAUAGUUUUAGAGGCAUUUGAUGUAAAUUGUGUAUAUGUUUUAUUUUACUUUGAUUUUAGAGAACAUGUUGGUGGAUCUGUUGAAGCUAAGUUUGCUCUAAAAUGAGUUGUAAUGAGUUUUCUAUGCAUUUUAUAAUCCUGUGCAUAUUUUAUGUCUGAUUUUUCUUAGAUGAAUUUUAGAGAUAGAUUUUUGUACUUUAUGUGUCACUUCUUAUUUUAUAACAUUAUAGUGCUAAAUUUUGUGAAUCUAUAGAAAUUGGUUUCACCUAAAAAGAGUUUAGAUGAAUUAGUUAGGAGUAUGCAAUUUUGAAGUUUAAAGUAGAUUUGAACAAUUCAGCACAUGUUGAAUAGCUGUUUUCAUUAAGAGUCCUUCCUGUUUUCAAUAAAUAUGAGUAGGUCCUGCAACAGUGCUGUGUGUCCUGUGCUUUUGCAGAAAGGACCCUACAUUAAAUUAAAUUCUUGUAAGGAGGUCCCUGGUUCGAGCUGAAGCAGGACAAGCUAUGGCCGAGCUCGAUCUCAAGCUCGCCGGCGGCAAACGGAGGCUCGGAUGGUGUCGGAAUAAAAAUAAAAAGUGUGUCCCACGUCAAUGCAAUCCUAGAGAAGGUGAAUAUGCUGUAAAUGGUCAACCAUAGCGCCCGUAUGUUGCAGAAUAGUGGAGAAGGUUUUCAGAUGGCUUUGCAUGUUGCGGUGGAACUUGAUUUUGGGCUAAAGGAAUGCAUGCAUUCGAUCUUUGGGAGGUUUAGGGUGCUCACCGGUCAGAAGCACGGUGUUGGCGAGGCUUGGACGGCAGCAGCAGCUCGCGGAACGGCUUGAAGGCGGAGGAUGAUGUCGGCUUCACGGUGACAGCACGGUCCGGUAGAUGGAGAGCUAAGAGAAGGUGUACAGGUGGUUAGAGAGGUCUCAAGGAUGGUGUAUAUGUGAGGAAUCGACACGAGGCUCACCAGAGCAGCGGGAAUUGAAGAUUGACGCCGGCGGCCGGAGUUGAAGAAGAAAGGCUCGAUCUCUUUAACGACGGUGCCUCAGCUCGUUUCCUUCGGUGGUCUUGCUCCUAGGGUCUUGGUGACAAUCAUGGCGCAGUGGCUUAGUCUGAGAUGGCCUGGGUCGACGGGAACGGCGACGCGAACCCGCGGCUGCGCACUGGACACCGGGAGCGACGACGAGCUCGACGCAGGUGUUCGAUCCAUGGAAAAUGAAGAAUAUUGAAUAUGAAAAUAUUAGGUAUGGUGUGUAGAUUACGUUGCCAUGGUUGAAAUGCAGCGAAGCUCACCAGAGAAAUCAAGCAAUGGAUUAAACAUCUUCGGUUGAAAGGAUUGAGGAGGAUGUUCUUGGCUCUACAAUAAAGUUCUUGGUCUAAUUCUUAGUGAAACAUGAUGAGGAAGAAGAGUUGAGUUUGCUGGUGAAAUGGUUGACCAAAUAGUGAUUGUUGUGCUGGCAAGGGAGAGAUAGGUGGCAUGAUAUGGCAUGGACACGAUUUUUAUGAGUUAGAAACUAAUGAGGCUAUGUCCUAACUUGUACUCCAUCCAUGUUUAGCAAGAGAGGCUGCCUAGUGGCCUCAUGUAGAUGUUUCCAGAAGAUUGAAGAGGUAUGGUGAAGUUUUGGGUGUAAUUUGGACAUAACUCUCUCUCUCUCUCUUUCUUUUUUUUUUUAAGUAGAAUUUAGGAUCAAAGAGGUGAUUCGCCAAGGGUGUAUGGCUGAUGAGUGAAUGUCAAGUGGGUCCAUGUAGAUACAUUCUAGGUGAAUGAGAGAGGUAGAGUAGUAGCUUAGGUGUGAUUUGUAUUUUAUCUCCAUCUCUCUCACCUUUAGAAAAAUGAAAAAAAAAUUAAAUAAGAGAGGUGUAGAUGAUGUGUGGCUGUGGUUGUUUGAUGAGUGGGCUCCACAAGGACUUGGUCCCAUAAGUAAGAUAGUGUUGGCACUAUUACA